CUCAAUAAACUUAAUUAAAAAAAAAAGAUCUCGACUGAUCUCGGAAGCUAAGCAGGGUUGGUCCUGGUUAGUACUUGGAUGGGAGACCAACUAGGAAGACCAGGUGCUGUAGGCA
rnacentral:rRNA from 1 species